rnacentral:rRNA from 2 species
CCCGGUAAACGGCGGCCGUAACUAUAACGGUCCUAAGGUAGCGAAAUUCCUUGUCGGGUAAGUUCCGACCUGCACGAAUGGCGUAACGAUGGCCACACUGUCUCCUCCCGAGACUCAGCGAAGUUGAAGUGUUUGUGAUGAUGCAAUCUACCCGCGGCUAGACGGAAAGACCCCAUGAACCUUUACUGUAGCUUUGCAUUGGACUUUGAACCGAUCUGUGUAGGAUAGGUGGGAGGCUAUGAAACCGGAACGCUAGUUUCGGUGGAGCCGUCCUUGAAAUACCACCCUGGUUUGUUUGAGGUUCUAACCUUGGCCCGUGAUCCGGGUCGGGGACAGUGCAUGGUAGGCAGUUUGACUGGGGCGGUCUCCUCCCAAAGCGUAACGGAGGAGUACGAAGGUACGCUAGGUACGGUCGGAAAUCGUGCUGAUAGUGCAAUGGCAUAAGCGUGCUUAACUGCGAGACCGACAAGUCGAGCAGGUGCGAAAGCAGGUCAUAGUGAUCCGGUGGUUCUGUAUGGAAGGGCCAUCGCUCAACGGAUAAAAGGUACUCUGGGGAUAACAGGCUGAUACCGCCCAAGAGUUCAUAUCGACGGCGGUGUUUGGCACCUCGAUGUCGGCUCAUC